rnacentral:rRNA from 1 species
AUGGGAACGCGAAGAACCUUACCUAGACUUGACAUCUCCUGAAUAGUGUAGAGAUACAUGAAGCCCUUCGGGGCAGGAAGACAGGUGGUGCAUGGUUGUCGUCAGCUCGUGUCGUGAGAUGUUGGGUUAAGUCCCGCAACGAGCGCAACCCUUAUUACUAGUUGCUAACAUUAAGUUGAGCACUCUAGUGAGACUGCCCGGGGUUAACCGGGAGGAAGGUGGGGAUGACGUCAAAUCAUCAUGCCCCUUAUGUCUAGGGCUACACACGUGCUACAAUGGUGGGAACAAAGAGAUGCAAUACCGCAAGGUGGAGCUAAACUCAAAACCCCAUCCCAGUUCGGAUUGUAGGCUGAAACUCGCCUACAUGAAGCUGGAGUUGCUAGUAAUCGCGAAUCAGAAUGUCGCGGUGAAUACGUUCCCGGGUCUUGUACACACCG